UACGUAGGGUGCGAGCGUUGUCCGGAAUUACUGGGCGUAAAGAGCUCGUAGGUGGUUUGUCGCGUUGUUCGUGAAAACCUGAGGCUUAACCUUGGGCGUGCGGGCGAUACGGGCAGACUGGAGUACUGCAGGGGAGACUGGAAUUCCUGGUGUAGCGGUGGAAUGCGCAGAUAUCAGGAGGAACACCGGUGGCGAAGGCGGGUCUCUGGGCAGUAACUGACGCUGAGGAGCGAAAGCGUGGGGAGCAAACAGG
rnacentral:rRNA from 1 species